rnacentral:rRNA from 1 species
GAGUUUCUUGAUCAUUGGGCUCUAAAAUAUGUACACAUCGCCCGUCGCUCUCAGGGUAAAUUGAGAUAAGUCGUAACAUAGUAGAUGUAUUGGAAAAUGUAUCUAGAAAGUCA